rnacentral:rRNA from 1 species
ACAGUGGACGCGAGCAUCUUUGUUGUAAGUGUUUAAGAGCGUACGGUGGAUGCCUUGGCACCAGGAGCCGAUGAAGGACGUAGGAGGCUGCGAUAAGCCUCGGGGAGCUGUCAACCGAGCUGAGAUCCGAGGAUGUCCGAAUGGGGAAACCCAGCCACAGUGAUGUGUGGUUACCCGCGCCUGAAUAUAUAGGGCGUGUGGAGGGAACGUGGGGAAGUGAAACAUCUCAGUACCCACAGGAAGAGAAAACAACAUGUGAUUCCGUGAGUAGUGGCGAGCGAAAGCGGAAGAGGCUAAACCAUGGGUGUGUGAUAGCCGGCGGGCGUUGCAUUCGUGGGGUUGUGGGAUCCGUCUUGUCAAUUCUGCCGGUAGAGCUACUGGAUGGCCGAUGGUGCCCCACAAGGUUACUGACGUCAGCCAAACUCCGAAUGCCAGAGUGUGAGAGCGCGGCAGUGAGACUGCGGGGGAUAAGCUUCGUAGUCGAGAGGGAAACAGCCCAGAUCGCCGGCUAAGGCCCCUAAGCGUGUACUAAGUGGAAAAGGAUGUGGGGUCGCGAAGACAACCAGGAGGUUGGCUUAGAAGCAGCCACCCUUGAAAGAGUGCGUAAUAGCUCACUGGUCAAGUGAUCCUGCGCCGACAAUGUAGCGGGGCUCAAGUACACCGCCGAAGCCGCGGCAUUCACAUAACACCCAUGCGGGUCUACGGGCCUGUGUGCAGUGGUGUGGAUGGGUAGGGGAGCGUCGUGCAGCCAUGGAAGCGCCGGAGUGAUCCAGGUGUGGAGGCUGCACGAGUGAGAAUGCAGGCAUGAGUAGCGAAAGACGAGUGAGAAACUCGUCCGCCGAAUGACCAAGGGUUCCUGGGCCAGGUUAAUCCGCCCAGGGUGAGUCGGGACCUAAGGCGAGGCCGACAGGCGUAGUCGAUGGACAACGGGUUGAUAUUCCCGUACCCGUGUGAACGCGCCCCUGGUGAAUCAGUGAUGCUAAGCGCCCUGAAGCCGCCUUCGAACCUUCGGGUUCUCCGGUGUGUGGAUGCGCGUGAACCGAUCUGGUAGUAGCCAAGCGAUGGGGUGACGCAGGAAGGUAGCUGAGCCAGUCAGUGGUAAUACUGGUGUAAGCGUGUAGGGCGUGACCUAGGCAAAUCCGGGUCACACACAGCCUGAGACGUGAUGCGUAGCCGAUUGAGGCGAAUUCAGUGAUCCUAUGCUGCCGAGAAAAGCCUCUAGCGAGCUUUCACACGGCCCGUACCCCAAACCGACACAGGUGGUCAGGUAGAGAAUACUAAGGCGAUCGAGAUAACUGUGGUUAAGGAACUCGGCAAAAUGCCCCCGUAACUUCGGGAGAAGGGGGGCCUCGUCUGGUGACGGAACUUGCUUCCUGAGCUGGGUGGGGCCGCAGAGACCAGAGAGAAGCGACUGUUUACUAAAAACACAGGUCCGUGCGAAGUCGUAAGACGAUGUAUACGGACUGACGCCUGCCCGGUGCUGGAAGGUUAAGAGGACCGGUUAGCCAGUAAUGGCGAAGCUGAGAAUUUAAGCCCCAGUAAACGGCGGUGGUAACUAUAACCAUCCUAAGGUAGCGAAAUUCCUUGUCGGGUAAGUUCCGACCUGCACGAAUGGCGUAACGACUUCUCUGCUGUCUCAACCACAGACUCGGCGAAAUUGCAUUACGAGUAAAGAUGCUCGUUACGCGCGGCAGGACGAAAAGACCCCGGGACCUUCACUAUAGCUUGGUAUUGGUGUUCGGUUCGGUUUGUGUAGGAUAGGUGGGAGACUGUGAAGCGGGCACGCCAGUGUUCGUGGAGUCGUUGUUGAAAUACCACUCUGAUCGUAUUGGACAUCUAACCUCGGACCAUGAUCUGGUUCAGGGACAGUGCCUGGUGGGUAGUUUAACUGGGGCGGUUGCCUCCCAAAAUGUAACGGAGGCGCCCAAAGGUUCCCUCAGCCUGGUUGGCAAUCAGGUGUCGAGUGCAAGUGCACAAGGGAGCUUGACUGUGAGACUGACAGGUCGAGCAGGGACGAAAGUCGGGACUAGUGAUCCGGCACCGGCAAGUGGAAGCGGUGUCGCUCAACGGAUAAAAGGUACCCCGGGGAUAACAGGCUGAUCUUCCCCAAGAGUCCAUAUCGACGGGAUGGUUUGGCACCUCGAUGUCGGCUCGUCGCAUCCUGGGGCUGGAGUAGGUCCCAAGGGUUGGGCUGUUCGCCCAUUAAAGCGGCACGCGAGCUGGGUUUAGAACGUCGUGAGACAGUUCGGUCUCUAUCCGCCGCGCGCGUUAGAAACUUGAGGAAGGCUGUCCCUAGUACGAGAGGACCGGGACGGACGAACCUCUGGUGUGCCAGUUGUUCCGCCAGGAGCACUGCUGGUUAGCUACGUUCGGAAGGGAUAACCGCUGAAAGCAUCUAAGCGGGAAGCCUGUUCCAAGAUGAGGUUUCUCACCCCCUCGAGGGGGUAAGGCCCCCGGCAGACCACCGGGUUGAUAGGCCAGAACUGGAAGCACAGUAAUGUGUGGAGGUGACUGGUACUAAUAGGCCGAGGACUUACCACAA